CAGCGUCGGGGGCGGUGUCAGCGUCAGCCCUGGCCUGGGCGAUUGGAAGGGAGGGCGAGAGGGAGGGAGGAGGCGCUAUGGCCGCCGCUAUCACCGACAUGGCCGACCUGGAGGAGCUCUCCCGCCUGAGUCCUCUGCCCUCAGGGAGUCCCAAUCCUGCAACACGGACCCGGGCCGAGCCUUCUGGGGGGGAGGAAGAGGAGGAAGAGGAAGAAGAGGAGGCCGAAGCGCAGGCGGUGGCAGAGCUGCUCCUAAACGGCGACGGCGGGGGUGGGGGCGGCAGCAGUGGAGGCGGCGGCGGCGGCGGCGGGGGUGAGGCGGAGACGAUGUCUGAACCAAGCCCGGAGAGCGCCAGCCAGGCCGGGGAAGACGAGGAUGAGGAGGAAGAGGAGGAAGAAGAUGAGAGCAGCAGCAGUAGCGGGGGAGGCGAGGAGGAGAGCAGCGCUGAGAGCUUGGUGGGUAGCGGCAGCAGUAGUGAUGAGACCCGCUCGCUCAGCCCAGGCGCCGCCAGCAGCAGCAGCGGCGAUGGAGACGGCAAGGAGGGCCUGGAAGAACCCAAGGGACCGCGGGGCGGCCAGGGCAGCUGCGGCGGCGGCGGCAGUGGCGGCGGCGGCGGAGGAGCCGGUGGCGGCGGCAGUAGCAGCAGCAGCGUUGUCUCCAGCGCCGGGGAUGAAGGCUAUGGCACUGGGGGAGGCGGAAGCAGCGCUACCUCAGUGGGCAGGAGAGGCAGCUUGGAGGUGUCCUCAGAUGGGGAACCCCUGAGCCGCAUGGACUCAGAGGACAGCAUAAGCAGUACUAUAAUGGAUAUAGACAGCACAAUUUCCAGUGGACGUUCAACUCCUGCAAUGAUGAACGGACAAGGAAGCACUACUUCUUCAAGCAAAAACAUUGCCUAUAACUGUUGUUGGGACCAGUGCCAGACUUGCUUCAACUCUAGUCCAGAUCUGGCAGAUCACAUUCGUUCCAUACAUGUAGAUGGUCAGCGAGGAGGGGUAUUUGUUUGCCUAUGGAAGGGUUGUAAAGUAUAUAACACUCCUUCAACCAGUCAAAGUUGGUUACAAAGACAUAUGCUGACACACAGUGGAGACAAACCUUUCAAGUGUGUUGUUGGUGGUUGCAAUGCCAGCUUUGCAUCUCAGGGAGGGCUAGCUCGUCAUGUACCUACACAUUUUAGUCAGCAGAAUUCUUCAAAAGUUGCCAGCCAGCCUAAGGCCAAAGAGGAAUCUCCUUCUAAAGCUGGAAUGAAUAAGAGGAGGAAGUUAAAGAACAAAAGACGACGCUCUUUACCACGACCCCAUGACUUCUUUGAUGCACAGACACUGGAUGCAAUACGACAUCGAGCCAUAUGCUUUAACCUCUCAGCCCAUAUAGAAAGUUUAGGAAAGGGACACAGUGUUGUUUUUCAUAGUACUGUAAUAGCCAAGAGAAAAGAAGAUUCUGGAAAGAUUAAACUGCUGCUUCAUUGGAUGCCAGAAGAUAUUUUGCCUGAUGUGUGGGUUAAUGAAAGUGAACGACAUCAAUUAAAAACAAAAGUAGUUCAUUUAUCAAAGCUACCCAAAGACACUGCCUUGCUUUUGGACCCAAACAUAUACAGAAAUUCUAGUAAAAGAAGUACAUACAGUGGAAUCCUGAAAGAUCACUUCUGUUAAGAUCACAUACUGAACAAUGCCACAGAAGAGGUUGAAGAGACAUCUAAUUUAAAUGGAAACACUGAGGAACGGAAGCAUGAUGAAGAUGUUAUUUUACAUGGUUUUACUCGUAUUAGUAACCAUGAUGGAUCAGAAAAUCUACAGUGUUUGUUGUAUGGAAAAAAUCUUGCAAAUGGAAGUAUAAAGCCAGCAAAACUAAAAAAGCACUUUACAUCUGUCCAUUCUGAAAAUAUAUUUGAAAAUGUAUUUUUUUUUCUUUUGGAGAAAGCUCAAUUAAAAAAAAUUGGAAUACUUCAAAACUUGGAUUUGACACUUCACAAAAACCUUUUCUUGAAUCAUCCUAUAAGGCUGUGUAAAGCUAUGGACACUUGAAUGGUUGAUCAAUGGGAAAAAAUUAGAAGUGACUAGUAUCAAAUGAUGUGAUAUAUUCUAGAAUAUUUGAUAUUUCUUUGAACAUUUUGAAGGAAGUCAUCAAGGACUGGCAGCAAUUCGAUACCCCUGGUGCUUAUGGAGGAAAUCUUCAGACAUUUCUCAACAUAGCUAGCAUCUUGCUUUUGUUCAUUAGGUAAGUGCUAUUGCCAUCAAAGAAAAAAAUACAAGUUUAUGUGUCUCUUUGGGAAAUGACAAAAGCUAUAUAGGUUUUGGAAAUGGUAGUUUUUUUUUGUUUUUGUUUUGUCCCCAAAGAAAACUCUUGACUGGAAAGAAAAGCUUUGCAGUUCUUUGCUACUCUAAUGAAGAAAGCUCCCCAUCAGAUUGACACCUUGAGAAUGGGGCUGAGGACUCUGCCUAAAUUUGUCUCAUUCAAAUUCAACUCUAGCAAGUCAAGACAUCACCUUGGUAAUAUCAUUGGUUGGGAGCAAAGAAAAAAAAGCAACAAUAACAAAGGCAUGCACCUGCAACACUGCCAAAAACACUGAAAUAAUUUUUGUCAACAUCCAUAAAGGUUAGCACUUAAAUGGAAGAAGAUUUUUGUAUCAUUACAUUGAAAAACUAUUUUGUCAAGAAAUGGGAGCAGAAUAUGGAGUUGGCUGAAUUUUAAGAGAAGUCUUAAAGUGCUUCCUUGAGUUAAGGCUGAAGUUUCCUUUUUAUGAGGGAGAAAACUAGUCUUGGAACACUUUGAAAGAAAAUAUUUUAUGUACUGGUUGGCUUACCUGGAAGAUAUUUUUAACCAUAUGAAUGAGAGCCAAACCUUGGAGAGAAAAAGGAAAAAGAGAGGACAGGGGAAAAUAGUUCUGCAAGAUUAACAUAUGAAAAAGUCUGACAUCAAAUGCAAUGUCCCAUACCUAUAGGUCCGCCGUACUGUAAAGGAUAAAGAGUAGGAAAAAGAUGUCUUCUCAUAUCUCUUCUUUGGGAUGAAGAUUUUUUUGUGUGAAAAUGUCAAAGAUUUCAGUUUUGUUUCUCUUGUUAUUUCCAUUUGUAUUGUUAUCAGUCAUUAGGUAUGUGGUUUUCCUAGUUCUGCUUACUUUGUGUUAGUGUAAGCCAUUCCCUGUUUCCAUGGAGUCUUUUUAGACAUCAUUUCUUAUAGCCCAGUAAUAGUCCAUUACCUCCUGUAUCAUGACUUGUUUGUUCUUUCCCUAAUUGGUGGGCAUCUCUUUUGCUUCUAUUUCCUGGCCCUAUAAAAAGCACUGCUGUAACUUUUGGGGGGAUAUAUAUCCCUUUUAUAGGAAGUAAGCAUCCCUUCUACAGAAAAUGUGGCUCAUACAAAUAUAAAACUUAAAAGGAAACGCCACCUAAUCACUCACUUGGAAUGGAAUCGUUAUAAACAAAUCUGGCUGCAAGAUUUUUCUUUCUGGGCAAAUGGAAAAGGCAAGAUGUUUUCUAAACUGUGUAUCCAUUUCAUCGCAAGACCAACUUGUCUAUGGACUUUCAAAAGUACCCGAAACACGACUCUGUCCUCAGCCUCCAGAUGAGACACUCAUGCUCCCUUUGCAUUAUGAUACAAUAUCUUUGGGAUGGAACACAGGGAGACGAGUCAAAGCACACGAGAAUGGCGAAGGAGUCCAGCACUCGGAGGCAGUCCAAACAGAGCUACCAAUCAAACAGCGGGCUUCUGUGGAGGCUCUCACUGAGUGACCACCCAAUCUUCCCUUCCAUCAGCACUAAGCACUACUUAGGACACAUUUUGAAAGAAGCUCAAAAACCAAUCAACCACAGUCUCUCAGCAUGAAGAAAAAUUUCCUGAGUGAUCCAUUUUAGCUUGCGGUGGACUCUCCUGAACACAGUUUCCAUUUCAGCCCUUUUUGCUUGACCCACCAUAUCAUUUGUUCUCUGGAGAAUGAGAAGAAAUUGUUGUUUCUGCACAUUUACGUCAUCUCUGCUUCUGACUCCCCACUGUUUGUUUGGAAUCAAAAUAGUUUCUCCUCUUUGGUCUUUGGCUUUUGGAAGGCUGACUAGCUAGUUGGAUAGGACAUUCAUUUGCCUGUGACCUCUGUGGAGAGGAAGAAGACACAGACUCAACAGUAAAGGAAUUAAACUUGACCAAGUUUUUGAACCCUAUCCAGAACAAAGUUUUGGGGCUUCUGGAAGAAAAACUGCCUGAAGGAGAACUAGACAAAUCAAGUUUGUCUCUCUUCCUGGAACAAAGCAAAAAUCUGCAGUCCAUCAAAAAUAAACGACUUAUUUUUAGAUUUAUGACAUUUGAAAUCUGACUGGAAAUUCAGAACACUUUCUUUUUUUCUUUUUUCUUUUUUUUAAACCCUUACCUUCUGUCUUGGAGCCAAUACUGUGUAUUGGCUCCAAGGCAGAAGAGAGUGGUCAGGGCUAGGCAAUGGGGGUCAAGUGACUUGCCCAGGGUCACACAGCUGGGAAGUGUCUGAGGCCAGAUAUGAACCCAGGACCUCCCAUCUCUAGGCCUGGCUCUCAAUCCACAGAGAUACCCAGCUGCCCUUUCAGAACACUUUCUAAUAGUUGAAUGUGAGUCCUUGAAGACAUUGUUAAGAUGAUUGUUAUUUAUAUAGCACCUACUAUGUGCCAGGCACCAUACUAAGCAAAUGUCUUAUUUUGUCCUCAUAGUAGCCCUGGGAGGUAGCUGCAAUUAUUUUCCCCAUUUUGCAGUUGAAGAAACUGAAGGGAACACAAGUUAAGUGACUUGCCCAGAGUUACUCCCAGCUGCUAAGUAGCUCAGGAUGUAUUUGAACUCAGAUUUUUCUUACUUCAGGCUCUAAUGCUCUAUCCACUGUGCCACCAAAUUGCUUAUUAUUAUUGCCUAUUAUUUAAAAAUUCUGGAAGCAGAUAGGUGGCUCAGCAGCCAGGCCUAGAGAUGGGACAGUCCUGAGUUCAAAUUUGACUUGAGACACUUUCUAUGUGACCCUGGGCAAGUCACAUAACCCCAAUUGCCAAGCCUUCUUCACUAUUCUGCCUUGGAACCAGUACAUAGUAUGGAUUAAAAAAAGGAAGGUAAAUGUUACAAAAAAAUUUUUUUAAAAAGAUUCUUAUUAUAUGCCUAUUAUUUAAAUACUCUGAUACUGAAUGACUAUUUCCAAGUUGGGGAGGAUUGUUUCCAAGCUGUACUGGCAGGCAGCUUUGUAACAAAUAUAUAUUUGCACACAAAUAUGCAUCAGAAAUCAUUCCAUGAAACUUCUUAUCCACAUCUGAAGAUCUGAUCAUGGUAGUAAUGCCUUGGUUUUUCCUAUAUUUUGAUGAUGGCAUGGUGCUAUUUUCCUGAAUUGUAAUAGACAUGGUCAGGCUGCAGCUUAAAGAGGAGGUUUCCUAUUGACAGAAGAUGUCAAUAAUUGGCUAAGAGUUUCUGAGAUAUGGAAAGGGAAGAGGAAUUACAAGGUCUAGGAAAUGGGAUGCUGACAUGAGAGGACAAGUUGGCUUCAUCAUCUGUUUGUGGAUUAGUGGAUUGAGAGUCAGGCCUAGAGACAGGAGGUCCUGGGUUCAAAUCUGGCCGCAGACACUUCCCAGCUGUGUGACCCUGGGCAAGUCACUUGACCCCCAUUGCCUAGCCCUUACCACUCUUCUGCCUUGGAACCAAUACACAGUAUUGACUCCAAGACGGUUGGUAAGGGUUUAAAAAAAAUAACACAAUGGUUGGUCAGGUAUCAGGAAUCCCAGUUGUGGUGUCCUCAGAUGGUCCCAGCAAGGUUGGGGUCUUUUCCCCAGUCGAUCUGUCCACCAGGAAGACUGGAGAUUUUCCUCUCACCCUCAGCCAGUUGAUCCUCAAAGGCCAGUUGCUUGAUAGCUCUACAGCCAUUACUGAAGCCAGCCAUCACUGGGACCCACCUUCCUUGCAGUCACUUAUACAGACUACUAACCAAAUGUCCUGGAAGGCAGCAGGUAAGGCCAAGAGCUCCCUGGGAGUGGCAGCACCUUCCAGAGCACUCGUCUUAAUUCCAGGUCAUCUCCCCAUAGCCAUCCGCCUCUCACCCCCUCCUCACCACAGGAAGCAGACUUGAUGGAGAUGAAGCCUGGCAAUUGUUUCUUUGGGUUACUGUACCAGAGUUACUAAAGAACUAGAAGAAACUGCAUCAGAAACUGAUAUGAUUUUUAUCAGUGGAAAUGGUCUUAAAGAAGAGACAUUACCACCUGUUGCUGUAUCCCAAGAACCCUGGCAUUUUCCAACUGAUUUGCUGUUGAAGUAUCCUCAAAAUGCAGUAGUGUUUUGCAUAACAAGUAUUUAAUAAAUGCAAAUGUUUUCC